GCGAUGUAUCUAGUAGUAUUAGAAAUUAAUAUGAUAUUAACUAAGUUAAUUAAAAUUCAAAGUAGAUAUCUGAUAAUGACAGUAUUUGCUUAUGUCUUGACCAAAUCACGUGCCAGCAGUCGCGGUAAGACGUGGAAGAUAAGUGUUAUUCAUGUUUAACAGGUUUAAAGGGUACCUAGACGGUUAAUUAAACACUGUAAUGUAUUAGUUAACUAGAGUUUGAUAUAAGAAGGAUUGAGUACGGUGAGUGUAGAGAUAAAAUUCUAUUAUACCAUUAUGGAACUGGUAAAGGCGAAGGCAACCUUCUAUGUAAAAACUGACGUUAAGGGACGAAGGCUCGUUAUAAAAAACAGGAUUAGAUACCCUGGUAUUUUGGGCAGACAAUGAUGAGUGUCAUAUGUAAGAAAAAUUUUUGUGUAUAAAUGAAAAUGUAAGCACUCCACCUCAAGAGUAACAUGGCAACAUGGGAACUGAAAUCAUUAGACCGUUUCUGAAACUCGUAGUGAAGUAUGUUGUUUAAUUUGAUGACCCACAAAUAACCUUACCACAACUUGAAUUACUUUAGUUUACUGAAGUAACAAGCGUUGCACGGCUGUCUCCAGUCAAUGUUGUGAAACUGUGGUUAGAUCCAUUAAAUUGACGUAAACCCUCACUUCAUUUACUAUGGAGUGG
rnacentral:rRNA from 1 species